GAUGAACGCUGGCGGCGUGCCUAAUACAUGCAAGUCGAGCGAACAGACGAGGAGCUUGCUCCUCUGACGUUAGCGGCGGACGGGUGAGUAACACGUGGAUAACCUACCUAUAAGACUGGGAUAACUUCGGGAAACCGGAGCUAAUACCGGAUAAUAUAUUGAACCGCAUGGUUCAAUAGUGAAAGACGGUUUUGCUGUCACUUAUAGAUGGAUCCGCGCCGCAUUAGCUAGUUGGUAAGGUAACGGCUUACCAAGGCAACGAUGCGUAGCCGACCUGAGAGGGGGAGCGGCCACAGUAGAACUGGAACACGGUCAAGACCCCUACGGGAGGCAGCAGUGGGGAUUCUUCCGAAAGGGGAGAAGGCCUGACGGAACACGCCCGGGGGAGUGAUAAAGGUUUUCGGAUCGUAAAACUUUGUUAUUAGGGAAAAAAAAAGGUGAAAGAAACUAGGCCCGCCUUGAGGGAACCUAAUAAGAAGGCCCGGCCUAACUACGUC
rnacentral:rRNA from 1 species